rnacentral:rRNA from 1 species
UACGGAGGGAGCUAGCGUUAUUCGGAAUUACUGGGCGUAAAGCGCACGUAGGCGGCUUUGUAAGUAAGAGGUGAAAGCCCAGAGCUCAACUCUGGAAUUGCCUUUUAGACUGCAUCGCUUGAAUCAUGGAGAGGUCAGUGGAAUUCUGAGUGUAGAGGUGAAAUUCGUAGAUAUUCGGAAGAACACCAGUGGCGAAGGCGGCUGACUGGACAUGUAUUGACGCUGAGGUGCGAAAGCGUGGGGAGCAAACAGG